rnacentral:rRNA from 1 species
UACGAAGGGGGCGAGCGUUGUUCGGAUUUACUGGGCGUAAAGGGCGCGCAGGCGGCAGAUCAAGUCAGACGUGAAAGCCCCGGGCUUAACCUGGGAACUGCGUUUGGGACUGGUUUGCUAGAGAUCGGGAGAGGAGAGUGGAAUUCCCAGUGUAGAGGUGAAAUUCGUAGAUAUUGGGAAGAACACCGGUGGCGAAGGCGGCUCUCUGGACCGAUACUGACGCCGAGGCGCGAAAGCGUGGGGAGCAAACAGG